rnacentral:rRNA from 1 species
CCUACGGGAGGCAGCAGUGAGGAAUAUUGGUCAAUGGACGAGAGUCUGAACCAGCCAAGUAGCGUGAAGGAUGACUGCCCUAUGGGUUGUAAACUUCUUUUAUAUGGGAAUAAAAUGUUCCACGUGUGGGAUUUUGUAUGUACCAUAUGAAUAAGGAUCGGCUAACUCCGUGCCAGCAGCCGCGGUAAUACGGAGGAUACGAGCGUUAUCCGGAUUUAUUGGGUUUAAAGGGAGCGUAGGUGGAUUGUUAAGUCAGUUGUGAAAGUUUGCGGCUCAACCGUAAAAUUGCAGUUGAAACUGGCAGUCUUGAGUACAGUAGAGGUGAGCGGAAUUCGUGGUGUAGCGGUGAAAUGCUUAGAUAUCACGAAGAACUCCGGUUGCGAAGGCAGUUCACUGGACUGCAACUGACACUGAGGCUCGAAAGUGUGGGUAUCAAACAGGAUUAGAUACCCGGGUAGUC